GGGGAAUGUUUGCCGACGUCAUUGUUUACAUUUUGCCUCAUUUAGCAUACGACUCAGUCUGCGUUGGAGAACGCAUCAUGCAAGACACAAAGUGACUCCAAACAUUCAAAAGCUUGUGAAACUUAUGAGUAAGAAACUAAAUUUAGCUGCUUGUGUGUGAAUAUUGGCGGAGAUAUUGGCUUUUGAAACACUUCAAAGUUCUGCCAGCUGUAAUGAGCCCAUAUAUGGCUUACAAAAUUCUCACAGAAUACAAUGUUUUAUGUAUCGAGUAGUAAAUCCUGUUGUAAAGUUUGUAAAAGUGAACUCUUGGAUUUUGUUCCUGUUCUCAUAAGGUUUUCCAUCGGCCGCUCCCUGUUUGUUUAACCGCGGUCGCGAGAUGGUAUUGCAUGAUUUUACAAUUGUUUAUAGUUCAGUUCCGAGAACUACUUCAAUAGUUGCCAUCGAAAGGAUGCAUACAAAUCAAAGCGCGGCCUCUGACUGAAAGCGGAAGUCUUAGCAGCACGCCUUAUCUUCAAGUGCUUUCAUUUACUUUUCUUUAGGAGUGCAGCUCGAAAGCAACUUUGGCUUAGCUUACUCUCAUACUAAGAGAUCUUAAUUCAACAUGUCAGUUUUCUGCGUUGAACGGUUGAAAUUCGGUUUGUACCAGUGACAUAGUCAGUGCGGUUUUCAUUUCGUUGCAUAUAUCGUUUCACUGUCGACACUGACGUGUUUCGAUGUUCAAUAAACUAAAUAUAGCUCACUUACGGCGUUUCAGUUCAAACCUCUGAAGCGAAACGCUUCCUGUUUACAGGAGUGUCAACGACUCUAAGUCAUGAACAACUCAAUCUCGUCAAGGAAUUUUUCAGGCCUAAAGCCAGUGGAAAUGGCUCGAAGACAAAAGCUACAGUACAUGAUGUUGGUUUUCACUUACUUUGCAGUAUUACAAGAGAUUGUGAACGCGUCAAAUGUACCACAUCCUUCGUUCACUUGCGGUCCCAACGGUAUUAAACACGACACAAACGACUCGGAAACACUUGGGGGAACACCCAACGUGGAUAUGACUUGCCCUAAACUGCCAAUUAAAAUGGACGCACACACAGAAAUUGCUUGUGAGGUGCUUUCCAAAACCUUCGCUAACAUAACCUGGUUCCAUAACCGACAACCAAUCAGCAAACAAAGAAAGAGUCACGUGACAGUUGAUAGGAAGUCCUGCUAUCAAACCCUCAAAAUUAAAUUUGUCACGACCAGCGAUGGUGGAAACUACACAUGCCAAGUUGCUAACGCCAAUGGAAACGUCAACAAAACAUGUGUUCUUGAUGUGAAGGCUCAUACAACCGAAGAAGUCCAGAUUGGAUAUGUGAAGAUAGCUGGCAAUCGGCAAAAAGCUAUCCUUCAAGGAAGUGUUGUGCUGAAAUGCAGCAUGCUCCACGCGCAAGCUGGUGUCUGGCUGAGAAACAGUGAAAGAAUAACGGAUAACGAACGUCAAGUCUAUAGACACGAACGCAUGUUUGGUGCUAAAGUAAUGAUGCUUUACCUGGAGAUCGUAAACGUGACCAAAAAUGACGAGGGAUUGUACACGUGUCUGGGAUACAGAAACGGAAGACAGGCUAAUAAGACUUUCUAUCUCGAGACAGAGCCAUGUCCAAGUGGUUACAUUUGCCCCCAUGAAGGAAACACAGCUAUUCGAAUCCCCGCAGCUGUCUUGCCAGGAUCGAAUGGUGUAUUCGUGGCACAAAGUAAAAGCAAAGGGUCUUGCUCCGUUUUUCAAGGUUACUUGCUGAUAUUUGUGUACAUACCUAUGGCUUUACAUGGAUGUCUGGGGUCUUGCUGAUUGCUUCCUGAAGUGUUGAGCAGCCGCUUAAUCUUCUCACGGAAUAUGAAACUAAACAGAAGUUGAGUAACGAUGGUGUUCGGAUUAUGCUGUGUUUAUAUAAGAGUCGUUGCUCCACUGCCUUAGCAAACGGCCUGGCAACAAGGAAAGCAUACGCAUGCUUCCAGACGAACCCGCAUAAUCGGGACCUCAAUGAGGUUACGCGACCAGGAUUCCGGGAAACAGUAACCAGGGAUCAGUUUCAUUAGUCAAAAGCUCUAUCAGCAAGAAGAAAAACGUUUCGGUUCCGAGCGCAAAAUGCCGCAGUUGGCAAAACGUUUUUAAAGCUCCGGGGUGCGACUCUGCGUUACGGUGCAACGCUUCGAGUUGCGGACGAGCUAACAGCUACGGGUGCGGGCAGUGUUUUAAUGAAUGAUCUCUUGAAAUGGGUUCGAGGUGAAUUGAGCUGGGAGGUGAAUAAUAAGUACGUCCAGUGGAAUAAACUUGUCAAAUUUAUACCUUUAUUGUGGGAUUAACGGCAAUACCGGGAAAACAAUAAAUCCCCGAAAGCGAUGCUUUGCGUGUAUAAAGUUACGUCGGUCGCUUUUUGCAUAAGACAAAAUCAAACGAAUGCCCAUCACUCUUUGUUUACUUCGCGGCUAGUUUCUACUAUCACUCUAAUGGAUACGUCUUCAUACAAUCGUGUUGAAAGUAAAACCGUACUUUGUGAAGGCCGCCUUGGUAAACAAGGCAUAGUUUCAAAGCCAUGACAUUAGCGUGAAGUAGUCUGUUUUUAUGAAGGGUAGUUUUAAGAGAUGAACGCAAAAUAUCACAGAUUACCCAGCUUUCAUUGAGAUUAAAGCGAAUCACGUUUGCGCGGCCUGAGAGCAAGGAUAAGGAUUAUAAGUACAUUACGUCUAAGUCCACACGCUCAUCUGCUAGUAAUGAAAGCUUGUCAAAAGUUGUACUAAGUGUAAAUAUACAUUAAGUAAAUCACAUUCUUCAGGCUUUUGAAACUGCUCAACAAAAGCUCAUUUAUUCCAAUAAUGCAGUAAACAUUUUUUUAUGCCCAAAAUUUCUCACAAAGCAACAUGAAGCCACAAAAGAACCCCAGUAUGACGAGUGCUGCAGCUAAACCUAAUCUAAACUUCUCAAUCGAAAAUAUUCUCAAGGAAGAAAAACCUGCGAAGGUUUUACUUUCUUCCGAACGUGUUCCCAGCAAGGAAACUGAAGGAGUUCAAGAAGGAACACCUUUGCCUGUAGAGAGAACGGUAACCAGCGAUCUUCCGUGGUUGGCGUACACGCGGUAUUCUCCCCCAAAAAUUCCAAGGUCAAAAAAUCGUAAGACUGUCAACAGACGAAAGGUAAGUGGUAGCCCAAGAGUUCCAUUUUCAACAGAACAGCUCCUGCAGUUGGAGAAAAGCUACGAGGACACCCACUAUGUUACCGCAGCUAAAGUAUCACAGCUUUCUGCAAUGCUGAAGCUUCCAGGAAACCGCAUUAAGAUUUGGUUUCAGAACCGCCGCGCAAGGGAAAAAAAGAAGUCCAAGAAGAUGACCUGUGAUGAUGGUGGCCAUCAAACGCUAAGUGACAUAUGUGUUGAGACAAAAGUCCGUGAAGAGCCUCACGAGGAAAUCAACCAAAACAUCUGCCCAUCGCGUUUUACUUGUCCAAGUUAUGAGAGAAUACAUCCCAGUUUCUCACCGAGGCGUGCACACGAGUUACAAUGUAGCACUUGUUUAAACAUAAAUGGAUGGCAGAGUAUAUCAAACUUGCCACAAACCCAUCUAUCAAGUUGCUUUGACUGUGGUCUGUACAAAGGAUUUAGGUAUCUCGUGUAAUUUAUUUUGUGUUAUCUCGCCGAUAAUCCAUCUGUACGUGUACGAUCGUUAGAAAACAUAAUACUGGACGCAACUGACAGUUACUAAAGUAUGAUAGUAUGGUUUAAUUAAUUUCUGUCUCCACUUCUGUCUAUGUCCAGUUUCAAAACGGACACUUCAUUCUUAUAUAACCAUAAUAGAGUCUUCCGCGUUCAGGAAGACAUAACCGUUAACAGUAUCGUAUUGAACGUAUCAGUUAAGAAACAAAACAGCCGAAAAGUGAAAUACGCUGGUUUAUGAUUUUUAAAAAAGGGCCAUACAGAGCAUAAAUAGCACAAAACCGUUGCAAGUUUUCCAUUUGUCACGCGUGCGCAGUGACGAGGCCACAUCAUGGUCAGGAAGGAAUAUUUCUUGCAGCUUCGUUUUCCACCGUGCUGAACUCCCCUCGCGAAGCCCGGCAUUUAAUUAUUCGACCUCAAAGAUCGUGCCUUCAAAGGAAAAA
rnacentral:misc_RNA from 1 species